AUGGCUGAUUCCAACCCCAUUCUGGUUGGCGCUGAGCCCAGCACAGUGCCCCUAGCGGCCACCAGAGGGCGCACAGAGACUCCCAGGCGGGACAAGGGGUCGGUUUGUGGGAGGAAGAGGGAGCUGGAGCUCAGCCUCUUGCGCGCAAGCACCAGGCACAACAGCACAACGGACACCCAGAAGCAUGCUGAUGAGAGGGAAGCGGGCUGCAGGAAAAGCUACCCAACUAUAAAUUCGGCCUCCAGUGGAGGAAAGGGGCCAGGGGGAUCCAGGCCUGGACACUACCUCGGCUAAGGCUGCUUCCUGAAAAGACAUCAAGGACUUGUAAUGAGAGUGCGUCUACCGAAUCAGAACUCGGCGAGCCCCUCCUUAUAAGCCUGGUCAGACUCAGGCCCCACCCUCAUCGCCUCCCUUUGAGGGGGAGGGACGCUAGAGAAUAAGCCAGCCCACGACUUCAGGCAGUGAUCAGUGCUCUGAAAAGCAUGAUGCCAGAUAGAGUAGGGGCGACUAGAGUUGAGGAUGCCAGUCCAGCUAGCGUGGUCUGGGAAGGCCUCUCGGAGGGGGUGAUAUAUGCAGAGCCAGGAAGAAGCUGGCCCUGGGGACCACGAGCAUAAAGAUGCAGAAAGACAAUGAGUGUGACAUGGUGCCAAACCCACCCACCCCCAUCGCAGAUGCUGGCACAGAGAGAAACACGUGACACAGAGAUGAGGCCUGAGUGGGAAAGCAUGUGGGGCCGUGUCCUCAGGGGGCCUGAACCCUGGCACAGAGCUCCGUGGAUGCCUCCAGGGGUUCCCCACCCCCAAGCAAGGCUCUGGGUCUUCCUCAUUUCCUUGCAUCUUCAACACCUUUCUGCACACCGCCCAGCCUGGC
rnacentral:lncRNA from 1 species